rnacentral:rRNA from 1 species
GAUGAACGCUGGCGGCGUGCCUAAUACAUGCAAGUCGAGCGAACGGACGAGAAGCUUGCUUCUCUGAUGUUAGCGGCGGACGGGUGAGUAACACGUGGAUAACCUACCUAUAAGACUGGGAUAACUUCGGGAAACCGUAUCUAAUACCGGAUAAUAUUUUGAACCGCAUGGUUCAAAAGUGAAAUACGGUCUUGCUGUCACUUAUAGAUGGAUCCGCGCUGCAUUAGCUAGUUGGUAAGGUAACGGCUUACCAAGGCAACGAUGCAUAGCCGACCUGAGAGGGGGAUAGACCACACUGGAACGGGGACACGGUCCAGACUCCUACGGGAGGCAGCAGUAGGGAAUCUUCCGCAAUGGGCGAAAGCCUGACGGAGCAACGCCGCGUGAGUGAUGACGGUCUUCGGAUCGUAAAACUCUGUUAUUAGGGAAGAACAUAUGUGUAAGGAACUGUGCACAUCUUGACGGUACCUAAUAAGAAAGCCACGGCUAACUACGUG